AGGUACUUUUAUAGACGGCACACAGAGAUGUGGGACCAGACAUGACGAGCAGGUCUUGUGCAGGUCUCCGCAGCCACGUGAGCUCGUGACUACAAUGGCCAUGUCGUGUCCAGAAGACAGUGACUGGGAGAACUUCUGAAAAGCUCUCUUCCUCCCCUUUUGGAAUGUCUAUUGUAUUAUUGUUAACUAUAGACCUGUGACCACUGGUCCGUGGUUCCUUAGACGGUUGUUUGGUAUAAAAUAUGUUGUGUUUGAACAUGAAA